ACCACCUCCCAGCUGCCCCUGUGAUGCUCUAGCUCUGCUGCACAGAGGAGUCAGAGGAGCUGGCAGCAGCUCACGUGAGGCAACAGAACAUGUUCUACUGAAUUCUCUGAGACCUAAACUGAGCCAGCAAUGCCGAGCUCAGGGCAAGUAUUUCUUGUUAUCUCUGGAACCAGCUGGUUAUGGACACCAGUACCACCUGGAGGAGGCUGAGCAAACCCAACCCCUCUAACCUACAUUUGCCACUUGGAGUGGCAUGCAGGACUGAGGGGGAUCUUCCAGUCUUUCUGGCUGGAAGAAGUAAGGAGUUUUCCCAAGAGAAUCCUGCUGUUCCUUAUGGAGCCCUUCCACCACAAGCUGCAGGAGCAGUUCAGAUUCCUCCAUCCACCUCAGAUAACAGAGAAGGUCUGAAAAUCAGCCUGGGGUGCCCAUGA
rnacentral:lncRNA from 1 species